UUUAUUUAUUUUUUGGUUUACUCAGACAAACACAGUUAUACAGAGUUUUAGAUUAGGCCAUCGACGGGCGCGGGCCAGAGGGUGGUAAUCACCCUCCGGCGGUCGUGAGACGGGCCCGCCGAAGCAACGUGGUAUAAUAGACACAGGGUUGGAGAUCGGGCCUAGAAGACCCUAACUCGAUAAUGAUCCUUCCGCAGGUUCACCUACGGAAA
rnacentral:misc_RNA from 1 species